UGGGCGUAAAGAGCUCGUAGGUGGUUUGUCGCGUUGUUCGUGAAAUCUCACGGCUUAACUGUGAGCGUGCGGGCGAUACGGGCAGACUUGAGUACUGCAGGGGAGACUGGAAUUCCUGGUGUAGCGGUGGAAUGCGCAGAUAUCAGGAGGAACACCGGUGGCGAAGGCGGGUCUCUGGGCAGUAACUGACGCUGAGGAGCGAAAGCGUGGGGAGCGAACAGGAUUAGAUACCCUGGUAGUCCACGCCGUAAACGGUGGGUACUAGGUGUGGGUUUCCUUCCUUGGGAUCCGUGCCGUAGCUAACGCAUUAAGUACCCCGCCUGGGGAGUACGGCCGCAAGGCUAAAACUCAAAGAAAUUGACGGGGGCCCGCACAAGCGGCGGAGCAUGUGGAUUAAUUCGAUGCAACGCGAAGAACCUUACCUGGGUUUGACAUGCACAGGACGCCGGCAGAGAUGUCGGUUCCCUUGUGGCCUGUGUGCAGGUGGUGCAUGGCUGUCGUCAGCUCGUGUCGUGAGAUGUUGGGUUAAGUCCCGCAACGAGCGCAACCCUUGUCUCAUGUUGCCAGCGGGUAAUGCCGGGGACUCGUGAGAGACUGCCGGGGUCAACUCGGAGGAAGGUGGGGAUGACGUCAAGUCAUCAUGCCCCUUAUGUCCAGGGCUUCACACAUGCUACAAUGGCCGGUACAAAGGGCUGCGAUGCCGCGAGGUUAAGCGAAUCCUUUUAAAGCCGGUCUCAGUUCGGAUCGGGGUCUGCAACUCGACCCCGUGAAGUCGGAGUCGCUAGUAA
rnacentral:rRNA from 1 species